UCCAGUAACUGACUUUCUGUUUUCUCCUAGCUGGCCUCUUGAGAAUUUAGUUGCUUGUGGUCACUUGUAGUAAAUUAGAGCUAACUGGUGGGAAGUGGCUCCUGCUUGCACACAACAACUCUGGAAGUCACGAGCAGGAUCUGGGAGACUGGAAGGAAUAGCUGCAAGCAAGGAGAUCAGGAUCGCACAUCCUCCAGAAUCUUUGUCUGCUGAAGGUGAACGUGUCGUUUUUACUCACACAACAGACUAGGAUGGCCGGUUGCGGGUCAUGUUUUUGGGGCAUCUUCUGGCUGGUGGUUCUGAUCUGCAUAGGCUGGCCUCUCGGCAUCACCUUAGGGGGUCUCUACGGCCUCUUCAGCCCCCUCACCACCUGCCUCGGCCUGGACCGACUCUCCGAUUUACUCCUGGAGGGGGCCAACCUGGGCCGAACCUGUGCCAAUAACAUGAGGCAUGGCAAGCCUUUGUGUUGAGAUCAACCAUGGGUGAUCAGGAUCAGACAGCAGGACCAGAGAUUGGAGGCAAGAUUUAUGCUUCUCUACAGAGAAAAGUAUUUGCCUUGAGAACUGUUACUGUCUGUUUCAUGUUGAGAUAUCCUGAGGUGAUUGGCACUCAACACAGUGGGAAACUUUUUAGCAAGUUAUGUUACAAAAAGGUCCAUAAGGUUUGUACAAAUGGAUUCCACUUGUCCUGUUAACAUGUAAUUAACCACGGAUUUCAAAUUUGUAUGGGCUUGUCGGAAAGAAAAUAGGCUUUGUGUUCAUGGUCUGUUUUUGCUGUUUAAUUCAUGAUGACACUGCAUGGAGAAGAUAAGAAUUAAAAUGGCAAUUUAACAAUGGAAAUACUUUGACUUGUAAAUGACUAUGGAAACUUUUAAUGCGAUUAAAACUGCUUUGAACUUGC